GCCCCCGUAGCUCAGGUGGAUAGAGCACCGGCCUCCGGAGCCGGGUGCAGAGGUUCGAGUCCUCUCGGGGGUACCA
rnacentral:tRNA from 1 species